rnacentral:lncRNA from 1 species
CUUCCCAACCUUGCCUUCCCAGUUCAGUCAAACCAGUUGGAGCUGGAGUCAGUCUGCAAUGGUGGGGAAGAUCAGAUUUCAGAAAUGGAAGGUGUUCUGCCCCAUCCUCCCUCCAGGGCUGAUCAAGGGUAAUUAUUCACAACAACAACAACAACACAUGGAUUUCUGUGGUCACACUGAUCAUGCUAAUCCGAUUCCAGCACCUGAAGUCUUGUAGUUCUGGGGAAGAAUGUUCAGAUAAUCUUCUGAUCUG